rnacentral:rRNA from 1 species
CUCUCGGCAACGGAUAUCUCGGCUCUCGCAUCGAUGAAAAACGUAGCGAAAUGCGAUACUUGGUGUGAAUUGCAGAAUCCCGUGAACCAUCGAGUCUUUGAACGCAAGUUGCGCCCGAAGCCAUUAGGCCGAGGGCACGUCUGCCUGGGUGUCACGCAGCGUC